rnacentral:rRNA from 1 species
GCAGAAAGGUUCCACCUGUUCCCAUACCGAACACAGAAGUUAAGCUUUCUUACGCCGAAAGUACUUGCCGGGACACCGGCCGGGAGGAUAGGGCAUCGCCACUU